rnacentral:rRNA from 1 species
UGGGGAAUAUUGCACAAUGGGCGCAAGCCUGAUGCAGCCAUGCCGCGUGUAUGAAGAAGGCCUUCGGGUUGUAAAGUACUUUCAGUCGGGAGGAAGGUGGUAAGGUUAAUAACCUUAUCAAUUGACGUUACCGACAGAAGAAGCACCGGCUAACUCCGUGCCAGCAGCCGCGGUAAUACGGAGGGUGCAAGCGUUAAUCGGAAUUACUGGGCGUAAAGCGCACGCCGGCGGUUGAUUGAGUCAGAUGUGAAAUCCCCGGGCUUAACCCGGGAAUUGCAUCUGAUACUGGUCAGCUAGAGUCUUGUAGAGGGGGGUAGAAUUCCAUGUGUAGCGGUGAAAUGCGUAGAGAUGUGGAGGAAUACCGGUGGCGAAGGCGGCCCCCUGGACAAAGACUGACGCUCAGGUGCGAAAGCGUGGGGAGCAAACAGG